rnacentral:lncRNA from 1 species
AGAGCCUAGGCAGCUCCGAAGCAAUAGAGUGUAUUCCUCCCAGGCUGCAGGCUGGCAGUCCGAGAUCAGGGUGCUGGCAUGGUCAGGUUCCCGUGAGGGCCCUCCUCCGGGUUGCACACUGCUGGCCUCUUGCGGUAUCCGCACAAGGAGGAAGGGGCAAGGCCUUUCUGGGACCUCUUUUUCUUUUAUUUUAUUUCUUUUUUUUUUUUUUUUAGACAAAAUCUUGCUCUGUUGCCCAGGCUGGAGUGCAGUGGCAUGAUCUCGGCUCACUGCAACCUCCGCAUCUUGGGUUCAAGUUAUUCUCCUGCUUCAGCCUCCCCAGUAGCUAGGAUUGCAGGUGCCCACCACCAUGCCCAGCUAAUUUUUGUAUUUUUAGUAGAGAUGGGUUUCGCCAUGUUGGCCAGGCUGGUCUCAAACUCCUGACCUCAGGUGAUCCACCCACCUCGGCCUCCCAAAGUGCUGGGAUUACGGGCGUGAGUCACAGCGCCCGGCCUCGGGCCUCUUUUAUAAGGGCAGGAAUCCCACUUGUGAGGGCUCCACCCUCAUGACCUGAUCACCCCUCAACGGCCCCACCUCCUCAAACCAUCACAUCAGACCUGGGGUUCCAGCAUAUGAAUUUUGGGGGGACACGUUCAGUCCAUAACAGAGCUGAAUGAGCCGCCUGCAGAAUGGCAAUCGGCCCGUGGGGCAGCUGCCAUCCCUGGAGCCCCACUUGGGGCUGGCUUCCCUUGGCCCUGCAUCUACAGGGCUCCCUAGCUCCUGGCUCCCUCCUCUCCCUCCCACCAGGCUCCUGCCUGGAGCCAGCGCCCUCUUCCCCACUCCAGUCGUGGGUCCUGCCCACCAGCCUUGAGGCUUCCAGCUCCUUCCGGACCCUGUGCACCUGCCCAGUUCCACCCUCUCCAAAUAAACGCCUCUCCUUCCUUGACCUUGCCCUGAUCCUCCCUGCUCCGAGGUGCCCCAUGUGCGGCAGGAAGAAGCAGCCUCCACAGGACUGCGCUCAGCGGGAGACGGGGCUUCCCCGUGAAGAGGUGCUGAGUGCGAAUGCCCACUCCAACACCUGGUCACUGUGUGAUCUUGAGAAAGAGUUGAGCCUCUCUGGGCCCUGGCUUCCCCAACAACCAAAGGCUGUACAGAGAGCGGCUUAGGAGAGAGCUCCUGUGUGCGCCGCCGAGGGCUCUGCUGGCUCAGGACAUCUGUAGGACCAGUUCCAGCU